rnacentral:lncRNA from 13 species
GUUUAUUAUUAAUGUCUUUAUUACAGUGGCCUUUGUGUUAUCUUUGUUGAAUUAUCUUUGCUGAUAUUAGUGUUGUAUUAUAUUUGUUGAUAACAGAUUUCAUCCAAAUAUCCAUAAAUUAAUAAUCAGAAAACUGUUUCAGACUGAGAGAAAAUCAUGGGGAAAGGGAAAAUGGGCCUGCAGAAAGGAGAAUGAAGCUGACAGAUGAUGCUGAAGAGGAACUGAGAGGCAGAGCUCUUGAGAUCAGUGCUACCACGGGCUUCCCUGCCUUUGAUUCGUAAGGCUUCAAGAACAAUAUGGCUGAGAAUGACUUCCCCCUGGCAUCUGUGCAAUGGUGCUGCCUAAGUGUGUGACUGCAGUGUGAAUAUGGUCCCAAAUCAACUCACAGUAAAGACUGACAGUAAAGCUGGCUUCUGGGGUGAGGCCCAUGGAAGAACCCUAGAAAGUGUUGGAAUCCAGGAGAGUGCUGUGAGACUGUCCGGCUGUCCUGCUGGAGAAGGAGGCAAUGUGUAGAGUACAUGGAGAAUGAGACACCACGCGGAGAGAGAAGCCAGGAAAAAGAACUGAGGCACCCAACUGAUAGUCAGCAACAAAAUUCCAGACAUCUAAUGGGGGAAUUCUUGGACUUUCCAGCUCAGCCCGACCCAGCUGCCAGCUGCAUGUAGUUAAAUGAAUGACUCUGGCUGAUACUACCUCAAGAAGAAUUACCCCUGUCAGCCCACAGAAAUGUGAGAAAUAAGUAAAAAAAUACAUAGUUAUAGUUUUCAGAAAUCAAGUUUGGAGUUUAUUUUACACAUUAAUAGCCAAUAAUCACAGAAACUGAACACAGACACAAUUAUAAAAAGCUUACUUGGGAC